UUGCCCCAGUAACGGCGAGUGAAGCGGCAACAGCUCAAAUUUGAAAUCUGGCUCUCGGGCCCGAGUUGUAAUUUGUAGAGGAUGCUUUUGGUGAGGUGCCUUCCGAGUUCCCUGGAACGGGACGCCAUAGAGGGUGAGAGCCCCGUCUGGUUGGACACCGAUCCUCUGUAAAGCUCCUUCGACGAGUCGAGUAGUUUGGGAAUGCUGCUCUAAAUGGGAGGUAUAUGUCUUCUAAAGCUAAAUACCGGCCAGAGACCGAUAGCGCACAAGUAGAGUGAUCGAAAGAUGAAAAGAACUUUGAAAAGAGAGUUAAACAGUACGUGAAAUUGUUGAAAGGGAAGCGCUUGUGACCAGACUUGGGCUUGGUUGAUCAUCCGGGGUUCUCCCCGGUGCACUCUUCCGGCCCAGGCCAGCAUCAGUUCGCCCUGGGGGACAAAGGCUUCGGGAAUGUGGCUCUCUCCGGGGAGUGUUAUAGCCCGUUGCGUAAUACCCUGUGGCGGACUGAGGUUCGCGCAUUCGCAAGGAUGCUGGCGUAAUGGUCAUCAGUGACCCGUCUUGAAACACGGACCAAGGAGUCGUCUUCGUAUGCGAGUGUUCGGGUGUCAAACCCCUACGCGAAAUGAAAGUGAACGCAGGUGAGAGCUUCGGCGCAUCAUCGACCGAUCCUGAUGUUAUCGGAUGGAUUUGAGUAAGAGCAUACGGGGCCGGACCCGAAAGAAGGUGAACUAUGCCUGUGUAGGGUGAAGCCAGAGGAAACUCUGGUGGAGGCUCGCAGCGGUUCUGACGUGCAAAUCGAUCGUCAAACAUGGGCAUGGGGGCGAAAGACUAAUCGAACCUUCUAGUAGCUGGUUUCCGCCGAAGUUUCCCUCAGAUAGCAGUGUUGAACUCAGUUUUAUGAGGUAAAGCGAAUGAUUAGGGACUCGGGGGC
rnacentral:rRNA from 1 species